rnacentral:rRNA from 1 species
CCUACGGGUGGCAGCAGUGGGGAAUAUUGCACAAUGGGGGAAACCCUGAUGCAGCGACGCCGCGUGAGUGAAGAAGUAUCUCGGUACGUAAAGCUCUAUCAGCAGGGAAGAAAAUGACGGUACCUGACUAUGAAGCCCCGGCUAACUACGUGCAAGCAGCCGCGGUAAUACGGAGGGGGCCAGCGUUAUCCGGAUUUACUGGGGGUAAAGGGAGCGUAGACGGGUGGACAAGUGUGGAGUGAAAUCCCUGGGCUUAACCCUGGAACUGCUAUGGAAACUGUGCGGCUGGAGUGCAGGAGGGGUAAGCGGAAUUCGUAGUGUAGCGGUGAAAUGCGUAGAUAUUAGGAGGAACACCGAUGGCGAAGGCGGCUUACUGGACUGCAACUGACGUUGAGGCUCGAAAGCGUGGGGAGCAAACAGGAUUAGAUACCCGAGUAGUC